GAUGAAGAACGUAGCGAAAUGCGAUAAGUAAUGUGAAUUGCAGAAUUCCGUGAAUCAUCGAAUCUUUGAACGCAUAUUGCGCCCUCUGGUAUUCCGGGGGGCAUGCCUGUCCGAGCGUCAUUGCUGCCCUCAAGCCCGGCUUGUGUGUUGGGCCUCGUCCCCCCUCCGCGGGGGACGGGCCCGAAAGGCAGCGGCGGCACCGUGUCCGGUCCUCGAGCGUAUGGGGCUUUGUCACCCGCUCUGUAGGCCCGGCCGGCGCCUUAGCCGACGACACAAUCUUUUUUUUCAGGUUGACCUCGGAUCAGGUAGGGAUACCCGCUGAACUUAAGCAUAUCAAUAAGCGGAGGA
rnacentral:misc_RNA from 1 species